UACGGGGGGGGCAAGCGUUAUUCGGAAUUAUUGGGCGUAAAGGGCGCGUAGGCGGCUUGGUAAGUCAGAGGUGAAAUCCCUCGGCUCAACUGAGGAAUUGCCUUUGAAACUGCCAGGCUUGAGGCCGGGAGGGGGUAGCGGAAUUCCCAGUGUAGCGGUGAAAUGCGUAGAUAUCUGGAGGAACACCGGUGGCGAAGGCGGCAUCCUGGACCGGUAUUGACGCUGAGGCGCGAAGGCUAGGGGAGCAAACGGG
rnacentral:rRNA from 1 species